CAAAGCAAGAACAAAGGAAGAAAAGGGAAGAACAAAACCCUAGGUGGAAAAAUUCAAGAAAAAAGUGUGAAAAUUCAAGGAAACAAGUGAAAAAAGGUAAGAUUUUUUCAAUUAAGCUUGAGAUCUCUCUUUCUUAACAUUUUUUCUUAUUUUUCAUGGUUAAAUCACAUGAAAUCAUGAUGAAUCCCUUGCUGGCCGAACACUUAGAGGGAGGUUUUGAUGCUUGAUUUGGUUAGAUUUUAAUGUAUUUUAGUGUUUUUAGUUAGUUAGUGAUGUGUAGCAUGAAAAGCCAACAAGAAAAAUUCACUUCCUCCCAUCACCCAUCAUUGGUCGAAUUCUCCAUGUGGAAUAUUGAUGAUAAUUUUGAUUUUAUUUCAAGUGAUUUGGUUAGGAGUUAGUGAUUUAUGGUGGGAGAAUCAAGCUUGAAAAAUUAUAGUGUUGAUGCACCCACCAUGGCCGAAUUUUCUAAGAGAAAAUAUGAAAAUGAUUUUGCUAAAUUUUAUGCUAUUUGACUUGUGUUUGAUGGUUUGGAGAAUUGGAAGAAAAAUGGAGUUAUUUGGAGUUAAAUUGGACAUAUUGGCUAAUUAAUCGGGUGAUAGAUCGAAUUAGGCCAAUACCAUUUUAUUUAGGUACAUAAUUGAAUUUAUAUUGAACACCGUAUUUAGAUAGUUACCCGAGUAUUUCACAUCCCAUUUCAUGCAUUAGUAUAAAGCCUGAAUUGGUUUUACAACGAUUUAUCACAAAUGUAGUAAAUGGCUUAUUGUGCAUUAUGUCUAGGUGGUGAACUUUCUGGCAAAAGUAAAGAGAUAGUACUCGAGGAUCAAGAAUCGAAGUACUUGGAAUUCGAUUCCCAUUACAGUGAGUAACCUUGUUAUCGUCUUAAUUAUCUAAAGUAGUUUUUAUUAGUUUUUGUGAUUUGAUAAAAAAAUGAGUUUAAAUGGUAAAUCUUUAUGUUUUAUAAGUAAAAUGUGAAUAAAUGAAAUGAUUUUAUAAAUUGUCUUGAAAUUGAAAGAUGGUUUUGAAAAUGGAGUAAUUGGAGACUAAUUGUUGUGUUAUAAAUCAUGGUUUGAAUUGAAUGGCUUAUGAUAAUAUUUGCAUGAAUGGCUGAAUUGGUAUUUGUGUUGAAAAUGUAUGAACUGUUAAUUUGCCUUGAGAGGCUGUAAAAUAAAAUAAUUGCCAUGUCGUGUUAUCGCAAAUUUUAUUGUAUGGUGCGUUAUAAAUUGGUCGCUGCAGUGGACGGGUUCCGUGGACCAGCCUAUUAGAGGGGCACGGUAACCCUAUUAUAUUCAUACCUCAGUAUGAGAGGUGCAGUUGGAUAACUUUUGAGGUUAAAACUUUAGAGUUCACUUCACGCCAAACCACCACGUGAGGGUGAACUCAGCCAACGCCAAGGAACGAUUAUGUUUUCAAAAUAAAAAACAUGAUUUAUGCAUACAUGACUUUUUAACAGCCUUGGCGUACUCGGUUGGGAUAGCUCUCGGUUAAGGUAUCCUUGAUAACUGAGUAUGAGAAUGAUUUUGGCACGAGCCAAAGUUUUAAGAAAUUCAUAAGCCAUGUUGAUUACUCAAUUUAUAUGAAUUGAUUUUAUUUGGUUGAAAUGAGUUGAAAGGUGAUGAAUUACAAUAUGUUAAACUAUUUUAUUUGUCUCAAUUUACUCAGCUUUAGAUAUUUUAGAUGAUAUUUGUUUACUCACUGGGAUUAUAUAAUCUCACCACCCUCCUUUCCACCCAUUUUAGGCUCAGGAUAGUCGGUAAAUAGCUCAUUUCGUUGAGGGCUACAAUUGGACUUGCAUCCUCAAAAACUGUAGGUUUACCGCUUUUGAUACUUUUGGUCGUUCGUGGGCCCACGUGUCACUGUAAAUUAAAUCUUAUGCUUUGGUUAUCUGUAUUACAGUAUGUAUGAAUUUAUUUAGUUUUUACGCUAGAAAAAUUAUUUACUGAUAACUCUAUAAAUAUUGUUUUAUAAGAAAAUAGAAUAUUUUAUUGAAUAUUUUUAUUAUAUUCAAAUAGUCAUAAUUUCAUUUUAAAUGAAUGUUUUAGACAUCUAAACUUAUUUUUUAUUAUGAAAUAUGUGUUUUCCACUCGCAUACUACAUUUUUAGCUGGUUUUAAGAUUUUUGAGGAAAAAUGAUCAAAAUGCCUCUGUGAGAAAAAAAAACUAUUUUUCUAUUGUUUUGAUUUGGAAAUAGUUUAUAAUCUCUCAAAACAUGAUACUUAACAACUGUUGCUCACAGGGGAGGUGUGAAAACUGAUAUUAAAGCCUUGCGAGGUUUCGGUUGGCAUUUAAAGCAAUGAAUGUCUAUUGGGAUGUUGUGGCGGUUGUCACGGGCUCGAGGGAAGUACCGGGUCGUGACACGCGGUGUCACCAUAAUAUUUAAAAUAUAUUUUUACCCGCGUUAGUUUUAUUUAAUAACAACAUGUGGGCUGCACUCACUUCAUUUUUCUCCGAAAUUUCCUUGUUCUUCCUCUUCCCUACUUAGAUUGACCAUAUACCCUUCCUUCAUGGAAAAUUUCGACACUGAAUAAAAUAUUAAUAUCUUAAUAAUAUUUUAUUAAUAAAAUAUUAUUUUAUUUCAAAAGUUUCCUUUUGUCUCUUUUUGUCUCCUUGGUAUCCAAAAUACCUUAUUAUGCCUCAAUUCACUUCCGAAUCAGUUUUUAUCUCACAAAUUCUUCCCCGAUAAGAUAUAUUUAUUUUAUUAUUAUUUCCUCGUGUGCAGAAUAUUUUAUCUCAAACUAUUCCUUUCAUCUUUCAUCACUCUUAAACAAUAUAAUUAACCUCAAUUGUCAUCCUCUAAGCUUUAUUAGUCACCAUAUCAAAGUACAAGGUAUUACAUCAUAAUUGAAUUUAAUAAUUCUAAUAAAUAUACUCUAUACAAUCUACACUCUAACCCAACUUGUAACCUAGAAUUCUAGUCUAAUUCACAAAUCCAUUAAACUAAAUGUUCAAGUUUGAAGUUUCUUUACCUUGGUGCUUGAAGGUAUAAAGAUCAACCAAACCUAGCAAAUUUCAAGGAAAGGAAAUUUGAAGAAACUUAGAAAAUAAAGUCUAAAAAUUACAAACACAUAAAUUCAAAAUUUCAAGGGUUGAAAAUAUAUACCUUUUAGCCUUAAAAAUGAAGAUUUUAAGCCAAAAAUCCAACUGUUAUUGAAAGUGGAGUAGAAAUAGAAAAUAAAGGAAAGGAAGAGAGAUUUUUCUUUCUCUCUCCUAAGGUUUAGAUGUGCUGAAAAUUGGGGUUAGAAGCUCCAGGUUUGAUGCCCAAGAAGUUAGGAGAAGGAAGGAGUAAGAAAGGAAAAUGAGAGAAAAAAAAACAAGGAAAAGAAAAUAAAAAUCUUGAUUUUUAUAGUGGAGGAACAAAAAUGGCGUUGGGAGGAGAUGAAGGAGGAAGAUGAUGCCUUGGACACAAUGGCCGGCCAUGGGAUAAGGAUGGAGAGUCAAAUCUUCCUUUGGAAGCUUUGACCAAGCUUUAUGAAAAAUUAUCGUUUUGCCCUCCAAGGUUUUCACCUUUUUUAAUUGUAUCCUCCCACAACCUUUUAAUUCCAAUUUCUUUCCAUUUUUCUUCCUUAACACUUGUACCAAUAAAAUAUCAAAUUUAUGAUUCAACGCGGUAACAUAGUAAUAUUUAAAUAUUUACUUACCCACGCUAGCUUUAUUUAAUAAAGACAAGUGAGCACCAUUAACGUCAUGUUUUUCUCUAAACUUUUCUCGUCCAUCUUCUCCCCCACUUAGAUUGACUAUAUAUUUCUUCUUCAUGAAAAAUUUCGACACCGAAUUAAAUAUUAAUAUUUUAAUAUUAUUUUAUUAAUAAAAUAUUAUUUUAUUUCAAAACUUUCCACUAGCCUUUUAGGGCUUAAAAACAUCCUACUUUGUCCCGAUUCACAUCCGAAUCACCUUUUAUCUUGCAAAUUUUUCCUUGAUAAAAAUAUUAUUAUUUCUUCGCGUAUGAAAUAUUUUAUCUUAAAAUACUCUUUUCACCCAUCUCCAUCCUUUGGCACUUAAAUCAACAUCUAUUAACCAUUUGUCUCGUUGAUAAGGUCAUAUUGAUUUCUAUACGAGGGUACUGGGUGUCACAAUCUAUUUUAACCAAAACACUAUAUCCCUAUGUGAAUUGAAAUUAAAAUAGAAUCAUUAAGUUUAGGCUCUAAUCUAGCUACAUAUAGCCUAUAGGUACAUCCCCAUCCUAGACUUAAACCAAUUAAAUGAUCAUAUGCUAUCCUAAUUUUAGUUUAAACUAAACUCCCUUUCCUAAGUUUGUUUAGAUUCCAAAAUCAAUUUAGUCGGUGAUCAAGCAAUUGAAAGCAUUAAGAACAAAUUAGAAUAAACAAUUUAAAUCCCAUUAAAGACAAGCAAGAAAGAGAUUAAAAAUUCAGAUUACAUGUGAGUUCAAUUGCAAUCCUAGAAAAAGAAAAUUAGCUACUCAUAAUUGCAAAGACAAAUAACAUUAUACAAAUUUCAACCAUUGAGAGUAACAAGAAAAAUAGAAGUUAAGGAAGAAAACAAAACAAAUAUUUGCUGCCUUUCUCUCCAAGUUUCAGCCUCAACUUCUAGCUUUUUGAAUCUCCAAAAGUUGUCUCCCUAAUGUCUUUUAAAAAUAUCCUAUUUAUACUAACAAACUUAACCUAUAAGUCCCUAAAUUAACCUACUAAUUCUAACUAUUGGGCUUAAUAGAGUAAUGAGGCCUAAACAUUAAUUGUCAGUCUUAAAAUUGCCAUUCCUACAAUAGUACACCCAACUAUUUUUCGAUGCCAUAUUCUCUAUCUUACAGGCAGAACUAGGCAAAAUGAUCAGCAUAAAAGUUUUAGCUCUGUCUCUUAACUUUACAGUGGUCUAAGAAUAACAACAUUUGGAGUUCUGUAAUGCAUGUUAUGGUUAAAACACUAAAGCAUAUGCAAGCAAACUUUCGAGUCUUUUAAUACUUACUUUCCAAAAUUAAGCCAAAUUCCCUUAGUUCCUAUAAAAAUAUAAAAACUAAUAAAUAAUAACCAAAUUAAAAGAAAUAAACAUAAAAUUAAAACAACUUACUUAAAAAUAGACUAAUUAUAAAAAUAACAAAAAAUAACUAAAUUAUAAUUGAAAAUUAAGGACUUAGCUAAUAUUUAAUAAUUAUCAAGUGACACAAAGGAAAACUAGGGGAUACCAUUUACCUACGCAAUGUUAGCUUUAAAAUUAUUAUAGUUUUGAUUAUGAAAAAGUGAUCAAAUUUGCUUGAACUUUAUUUGAGUAAUCUUUGACAAUUUCUUGAAAUGUUUUAACUCCCAUACAUUUGUUCUUACAUAGACACAAGCUUGACUCUUGAAGUUAUUGAACUAUAUCUAUAAGCUUGUAUGACUUAAGUAUCUGAGUGCUUAUGGUUCCUAUUUAUUAAAGUUUGAUUUAAAGAUUAAAGGAAAAUCUAGAUGCACUCAUAAGGGGGAGUUUUGAAUAUCUUUUUUAAUGAUGGAAAAAAAAGAGAAAAGGAAGACUAAGUUAAAUAGAGUUAAAUAGGUCUUCAUGUUUAAUUUAUGUGUGUGAUGCUCAGUUUUGGUUUUGUUCAAUGUUAUGUAAAGAAAACUAGAUGCAUUGACUAAAGGGGAGCAACUCAUUACACACAAAGAUUUGAAGUAUUCAUAUUGAACAUAGACAUUGCACUCUUAAUCUAGGAGUGUUUUGUCAUCAUCAAAAAUAAGAGAUAGAGAAUGUUGACUCUAUUAGUUUUUGAUGAUAAUAAAACAUUCCCACUCAUUUGUGUCUAAGAUCUCUACUUGAGUGUGUAGGACAAAAAUUGUAUGCCAAGAAUAAAUCAAUUAUUCAAAGGCACAUAUCAAAAAUCAUAUGAAUAAGGAGCCACAAUUGGUCAACAAAACAGAAGCCUCUUAGUUGGAUAAUAAAUGGUGCUGGUUAGCUAAAAUUCAAAUUAGAAAUUGGCUAGCUCAAGAGGAUUGAGAGACAGAGAAGACUUAGUUGACCAAGAAGUAAGUUAGUCGACUAAGAGCUUAUUGCUAGAAAUUUGGAUUUCGAGCUAGAAACAAUUUAAUCGACUAAGAAAUAAGUUAGUCGAUUAAAUGCUCACUACCAAAAACUGGGAUUAGAAGACAGAAACAAUUUAGUCGACUAAGAGAGCAAUUAGUCGACUAAAAUCAUUCUGUUAGAAAAUUUGAAUUGAGCACUAGAAGAUAAAAUUACAACUAAAAACAGCUAGUUUUUGUCUCUAACGGCCAAAAUUGAUUUUGCAAGUAUUUAAAGCCUCUCUAACAAUAAAAAAAAGAGAGAAAAGCCAUCCAUAGUGAUUUUGAUCUUAGAAGACCAAAAUCCUUCUCUUUACACUUGUAUUUCACUCCCAUCCUCUGAAAAAGUGUUUGAUAUUAAGUUUGUACAUCUUAGAUCAGCUAGGUGAUCAAUUGUACUUCAUCGUUUCUCUAUUUUCUGUUUACUUAGAGUGUGAGAGACACUCUAAGGGGUUGAUCAAGCUUGGGCUAGCUUGGUUGUUGUUGUGAUACCCCAUAUUUUGAAACAAUGAUUAAUAAAGUUGAUUGGAUGCAAAUUGAGGUCAGUUAUAAUGUUUAAAAGUGAUGACAGAUGAAAGGAAUAGUUUAGAAUAAAAUAUUCCGCAUGCGAGGAAAUAAUAAUAAAAUAAUAAUAUUUUUAUCGAAAGAGAAUUUGGAAGAUAAAAGGUGAUUCGGAAGUUUAUUGAGGUAUAAUAAGGUAUUUUAGGUACCAAGGAGACAAUAGGAAAUUUUUAAAAUAAAAUAAUAUUUUAUUAAUAAAAUAAUAUUAAAAUAUUAAUAUUUAACCAGAUGUCGAAAUCAAAAUUUGUCAUGAAAAAGGAUCAUAUGGUUGAUCCAAGUGGGGGAGAAGAAAUACAAAUAAAUUUUUUGAAAUGAGCGACGACAGUGAAAUACGCAUGUUUUGCUAAGUCGAGCCAACGCGAAUAAGUGAAUAUUUAAAUAUUAUGGUAAUACUGCGUUGAAGUACAAUUUUGAUAAUUUGGUAGUACACGUACAGAGGAAGGAAGAUAGAUGAAAAUUGAAAUUUUUAGAUGUAUUAAAAGGAUAGAAUUUGAAAUAUAAAGAUUGGAGGAUAUGUAAUGGAAUUAAUGAGAGAAAUAAAAUGAACAUAUAGUAAAAUAAUAAUAAUAUAUAUAAAAAAAUAGAUAAAGAUAGACCAACAUGGGCAGUCGCCCAUGUGGUCAAUAAAAAGAGUCAAAAGACUCUUUGAUUUGCUUGAUGGAGGGAGGCCCGCCAUGUGGAAUAAAAUGGAGAAGGAAAGAAAAAUGGGGGGGCCGGCCAAAUUGAAAGAAAACAAAUUGGAAGAUUCAUGAAACAAAAAAAAAAGUAAAGUGAAGAAGACAUAGAAGAAGAGAGAAGUCAGUUGUGAGGGAGAAUAAAAGAGAAACAAAAGAACAAAGGAAAGAAAGAAGAAAGAAGCAACCGAGAGAAAGGAAAAAAAAGGAAAGGAGAGAAAGGUCGAACGGUGAGGAGAAGAAAGGAAGAAAAGGAAGGCUGUAAAAGCUGAGUUAAGGGGGGCAGUUUUGCUGCCAUUUAGGGAGGAAAGGUUGCUACCAAUUUAAGGGUGAGAGGAGCAGCUUUAGCUAUUGAUUUUGAAGGCUGGAAAGUGAAGUUUUGGUUGCUGAUUUUGAAGGUUGAAAGGUGCGGUUUUAGUUGCUAAUCUUUGUAGUUUUGGUUGCUGAUUUUUGAAGGGAAAGUAGAGCAGCUUAGCUGCUGAUUUUGAGGAGAAAUAAAGCAGCUUAACUGCUAAUUUUUGUGUGGAUAUGAGCAACUCUAGCUGUUGAAAAUUUCUUGGUUGAAAGACAAGAAGUUGUGGCCAGCGGUGAGAAGGAGAGAGAAGAGGAAAUUGUGGACAGCUCUUGUACGUGAGAAAGGAAAAAGAAAGACAAGCAAGAAGCUGCUGGUCGGUUGGAGAGAAGAGGAAGAGAAAGAGAGAAAGAAAAGAAAAGAAAAAUAUAUAUAUGCAUAUAAAUGGGCAUGGCCCAAUAAGGAAAGAAUGGGCAUGGCCCAAUUAAAAAGAAAUGGGAGAAGUCCAUGAAAAAGGACCCAAAAAACAAUGAAGGAAGAAAAGUUCAAAAGAAAAGGAAGUGGAGACUUGGGCCAACCUAGCCUAAUUAGGUAAAAUUUCUUUACUUUUCUCCAUGGCUUAUUGUGAAAUUGGACUGUUUAGAGGCUAGCUCAUUUUAUUUAAUUAUACAUUGGUUAUUUAGUGAUAUGAAGAAAAUUUAAGUUGCUUAGAAGGUUGAAAUAGGCACUUAAUACCAUAAAUAAUUUACCGGUGUUAAUAAUCUAAAGAAUUACGUGAGCAAAAGAUGUAAUUAAUUUUAGUAAAAAUGUAUUAAGAUGUGAAUUAGGUGAAUGAAUUAUGAUAGAAUGAGAAAGAGAAGUGGAAUUGAUGCACUAAGUAUAUUGGGUUUAAAUUGUUGCUAGGAAAAUUUGUUGUGGAGGCGUGCCAAACGAAGUAUGUGACUGGCAAAUAGGAAUAAUUAUACAUGUACGAAUCAAUAGCGACGUAGAAAUCCCGCUAUUGUGAAGUGAGUAACCUUAUCAUCAUUUUAAUUAUCUAAAGUGGUCUUUUUAUUUGAUUUUGUGAAUUUUAUGGAAAAUGUGUUUAAAUGAAAUGAAUUUAUAAAUUGUCUUGAAAUUGAAUGAUGACUUUGAAAAUAGAGUAAUUGGAGACCACUUGAUAUGUUGUAAAUUUAUGGUUUUAAUUGAUUGGCUUAUGGCAAUAUUGGCAUGAAUGGUUGAAUUGCUAAAUGUGUUGAAAAUGCACGAAUUAUUGAUUUGCCUUGAGAGGCUGCAAAAUAAAAUAAUUGCCAUGUACAACCCGACCCUAUAAACGCAUGUCAUGAUAUACAUGCACUGAGUAGCAUGUUAUUACGCUAGGAAAGUCUCUAAGAAUAGACGAAACCCAGUAUUAUACUUAACGGUACACUUGAGUGGAUUUAACCUCGAACUAGUUUAAAUAGGAAUCGUAGGAUGAAAUUUAAUAUUUUACAGUCGAAGAAUGACUAAAAAUGAUUGUUCGGAGUUCAAGGGUUCAUUUGGGGUAAAAUUGAAAAUUUUGAUGUUUAGGGGCAAAAUCAUUAUUUUGCCACCUAAGAUAAUAAUUUGAUCAUGGAGUGAAAUUUUUGACCAAGAUUAAUUAUUUGGAGUAUAAUUUAAUGAUAGGAAGUGAAAAAUUUCAAUUCUAACAAUUUUCGGAACAUAGGGGCAAAACGGUAAUUUUAUCGUUUUGGGGUAAAAACCGUAAUUUUCACCACCCAAAACUUGUCAAAAUCAUAGGAUUUAUUUGUUUUUGGUAUGAAUAACUAUGGUAUUGUAAGUGGUGAAAAAUUGAAGUUUAAAAGAUGAAAUUUAAAAAACGGACCAACGGGAAAGUGACACAUGGCAUUUUUUUUAAUGAUUUAAUAUUAUUUUAAUGAAAAGUCAGCCCAUUUAAAUCCCAUAUUAAGUGAUGGCCAGCCAUAAGGAGAGAACAAGAAAGAAAAUAGAGAGGAAAAGAAGAAAAGAGAAAAACCAAAGGGAAACUAGAAAAUUCAAAGGGGAAAUCGCGUUUUUCGUCUGUCUACGCGUCUAACGGUAAGAUUUUUCGACUUUAGCUUGAUUUCUACCUUUCCUAUGCCUUUAUUUCCAUUUAGCAUGCUUGAGGAGAGAGAUCAAAAAGUGAUAUCAAGGGCUGGAUGAAAUUCAAGGGAGAGGAAUUUGAAUUUUUUAGGUUUUGAUUUUUAGUUAAAUUGAUAGUUUUAGUUAGUUAAAUGUGUAUAGAAAUCAAAUUGGGCAAGAAAGCAUGAAAUUUUCACAAUACCCACCCUUGGCCAAAUAUGCAUUGAUGUACAAUGAUGAUGAACUGAUUUUUAUUCUAAGAGGAAUGAAGAGAAAAUGAUGAAAAAUGGUUAAAUGUGAUAGAAAAACAAAGUGGAAAAUUAACCGAGUAAAUGCCCCAUUUUUGGCCAAAUUUUCCAAGGAGGAAAGUGAGCUGAUUUUGGUGAUUUUACUGAGUUAUUGACUGAUAUUUAAUGGUUAGAAAUGUUGGAAAGAAAAUGGGACAAUUUAGAGCUAAAAUGGAGUGUGUUAGCAAUUUAACAGGUAAAGUGCCAAAAAUAGGUUAAUACCGCGUUUAAGCCGUUUUAGGCUAUUGCAUUUCAUACCAUGCAUUAGUAUAGGAUAUAAGUCAAUUAUACAGUGAUUUAGCAUCAAUGUGGUGAAUUGGGUAAAUUUUGCAAUGUGUUUAGGAGGAGAGCCUUCUGGUAAAGGUAAGGAAGUCUAACCCGACGAACAGUGAUCGGGACACCUAGAAAGCAUUUAGUUUGUACAAACGGUGAGUAAACCUAUUAUUAUUGUAAAUUAUCUAGAGUUUAUUUUUAAAUGCUCUUUAUGUAUUUUAUGAAACGAAAAUGAGAUUAAAACGGGAUUUUUAAUGUUUUAGAAAUAAAUGUGACAAAUAAAAAUAUAUUGUGUUGAUUAUGAAAUUGAGUAAUUGGAGGCUGUCAAUUAUUUUGAAAUAUAUAUUUUACUAUGAAUGGCUUAUGAUAUAUGAGUAUAUGUGGCUAUAUUUUAUAAUUGCAUUGGGAAUAAAUGUAAGCUGUUUUUACUAUGUAGGCUGGGUAAAUAAAUAAAAGCCAUGUUAUAUUGUCGAAAUUUUAUUAAAAUUGAUGGUUUAGUCACUACAGUGACGGGUUUCCGUGGACUGCCUAUUAGAGGGGCAUGGUAAACCCAGUUAUGUAAUUACUUCAGUUGUAGAGGCGAUGAGGGUUGUAAAACCCGACCCUAUAAACACAUGUCAUAAUAUACAGGCACUGAGUAGCAUGUUAUUAUGCUAGGAAAGUCCUUAAGAAUAGACGAAACCCGAUAUUGUACCUAACGGUACACUUGAAUUGAUUUAACCUCGAGCUAGUUCAAAUAGAAAUCGUAGGAUGAAAUUUAACAUUUUAUAGUCAAGGAAUGACUAAAAAUGAUUGUUCGGAGUUCGAGGGUUCAUUUGGGGAAAAAUUGAAAAUUUUGAUGUUUAGGGGCAAAAUUGUAAUUUUUCCACCCAUGGACAAAAUUUGAGAUUUUGAGAGAAUUUAGAUCAAAUUUGACAAAUUGGAGAAUGGUAUGAGUAUAAGGGAUGAAAAAUAUGUCUAUGGGCAAUUUUUCAGUUUUUUGGGCAAAAAUGUAAUUUUUCACUUUUACGGGGGCAAAAGUGUAAAUUUAAAAAAUUACUCCACCGAGACUUUGGAUAAGUCUGAGAAUUUUAUCUAAGCUAUGGAUAUGUGGGACAAGUGUAUGGUGAAAAUUUGGAAACAAAUGGAUGAAAUUUUAAAAAUGGGCCAAUGGGAAAGUGACAUGUGGCAUUUUUUUAAUGAUAUAAUAUUAUUUUAAUGAAAAGUCAGCCCAUUUAAACCCCAUUUUAAGUGAUGUCCGGCCAUAAGGAAGAACAAGAGAGGAAAUAGAGAGGAAAGGAAGAAAAGAAAGAAAACAAAGCGAAACUAGAAAAAUUCAAAGGGGAAUUCGCGUUUUUCGCCUGUUUACGCAUCUAACGGUAAGAUUUUUCGACUUUAGCUUGAUUUCUAGCUUUCCUAUGCCUUUGUUUCCAUUUAGCAUGCUUGAGGAGAGAGAUCUAACAGUGACAUCAAGGGCUGGAUGAAUUUCUAGGGGAGAGAUUUUGAAAUUUUUAGGUUUUGAUUUUUAGUUAAAUUGGUAGUUUUAGUUAGUUAAAUGUGUUUAGAAAUUAAAUUUGGCAAGAAAGCAUUAAAUUUUCACAAUACCCACCCUUGGCCGAAUCUGAAAUGAGGUACAAUGAUGAUGAUCUGAUUUUUAUUCUAAGAGAAAUGAAGAGAAAAUGAUAAAAAAUGGUUAAAUGUGAUAGAAAAACAAAGUAGAAAAUUUACCGAGUUAAUGUUCCAUUUUUGGCCGAAUAUUUCAAGGAGGAAAGUGAACUGAUUUUGGUGAUUUUAGAAGGUUAUUGGCUGAUAUUUAAUGGUUAGAAAUGUUGGAGAGAGAAUGGGACGAUUUAGAGCUAAAAUGGAGCGCGUCAGCAAUUUAUCGGGUAAAGUGCCAAAAAUAGGUUAAUACCGCAUUUAAGCCAUUUUUGGCUAUUGCAUUUCAUACCAUGCAUUAGUAUAGGAUUUAAGUCAAAUAUAUAGUGAUUUAGCAUUAAUGUGAUGAAUUGAGUAAAUUUUUACAAUGUGUCUAGGAGGAGAACCUUCCGAUAAAGGCAAGGAAAUCGUACCCGAUGAGUAGUUAUUGGGGCACCUAAAAAGCAAUUAGUUUGUACAAACGGUGAGUAAACCUAUUAUUAUUGUAAAUUAUCUAGAGUUUAUUUUUAAAUGAUCUUUAUGGAUUUUAUGAAAUGAAAAUGAGAUUAAAAUGGGAUUUUUGAUGUUUUAGAAAUAAAUGUGACAAAUAAAAAAUAUAUUGUGUUGAUUAUGAAAUUGAGUAAUUGGAGGCUGACAAUUAUUUUGAGAUAUAUAUUUUCCUAUGAAUGGCUUAUGAAAUAUGAGUAUAUGUGGCUAUAUUUGAUAAAUUGCAUUGGGAAUUUAUGUAAGCUGUUUUUACUAUGCAGGCUGGAUAAAUAAAUAAAAGCCACGUUAUACUGUCGAAAUUUUAUUAAAAUUGGUGGGUUAGUCACUACAGUGAUGGGUUUCCGUGGACUACCUAUUAGAGGGGCACGAUAAACCUGGUUAUAUAGUUAUUUUGGUUGUAGAGGCAAGGAGGGUAACUCUCGGGGUAGUAUUAGAGCUCACUUCACGUCGAACCCCCACGUGAAUGUGUAACUCGGCCAAUGCCAAGGAACGAUUUGUUUUAAAAAUAAAAAUGUGUUUCACAUGUAAAUGUUAUAACAACCUUGGCGGACUCGGUUAGAUGCCUCGGCCAAGGUAUCCCCGAUGAUUAGUUUUGGCUUGAGCCUUGUUUUCUUUUAUAAAAGACAUAAGCCUUAACAACUGUUUUGGUAAAUUACAAAUAUUUUAUGGUUUAAGAAAUAAAUUGAAAACAUUAUGAAAUGGUUUGUGAUUUGUUGUUUAAACUUGCCUCUCUGUUACUCGCCUUUAGAUAUUUAUGAUAAUGUCUGUUUACUUAUUGGGAUUGCAAAAUCUCACCCACCUCAUUUCCAAAUAUUUCAGGUCUGUGGUAGCUUGUAGAUACCCAAUUUUGUCGAGGAUUCCAGUUGACAUCUCUACCACACAAACAGUAGGUUUCUAGCACCAACACUAGGUGUAUUUUGUGCCACUUGUCAUUGUAACCAUUAUUGUACAUUAUAACUUAGUAAAUUUUUGUAUGUAUGAAUUUAUUUUACUUACACAUUACAAAAUAUUUCUUACACGUGUUUCUAUAAAUAUUGUUUUAUAUAAAAAUACUAUAUUUUAAUCAAUAUUUUGAAUAGUGAUAUUUGUCUAUAAAUCUUUUUUUUUUAAAAUUUUUUUUGGAUUUAUUUGAGUCGAAAACGAUUGCAAAUUGUUUAAAAUAGAAUGUUUAAAAAUGAUUGCUCACAGAAAGGCAAGAAACUGAUAUGUAAGCCUUGCGGAGUUUUGAUUGGCAUUUCGGGUAAUGAGUGUCAAUUGGGACGUCGCGGGGGUUGUCAUGGGCUUGAGGGAGGUUCUGGGUCGUGACAAGGGUAACUCCCGGGGUAGUAUUAGAGCUCACUUCACGUCGAACCCCCACGUGAAUGUGUAACUCGGCCAACGCCAAGGAACGACUUGUUUUAAAAAUAAAAAUGUGUUUCACAUGUAAAUAUCUUAACAACCUUGGCAGACUCAGUUAGAUGCCUCGACCAAGGUAUCCCCGAGGAUUAAUUUUGGCUUGAGCCCUAUUUUUAAUAAAAGUUAGAAGCCUUAACAAUUGUUUUGGUAAAUUACAAGUAUUUUAUGGUUUAAGAAAUAAAUUGAAAACCUUAUGAAAUGGUUUGUGAUAUGUUGUUUAAACUUGCCUCCAUUUUACUCGCCUUUAGAUAUUUAUGAUAAUGUCUGUUUACUCAUUAGGAUUGAAAAAUCUCACCCACCUCCUUUCCAAAUAUUUCAGGCCUGUGGUAGCUUGUAGAUACCCGAUUUUGUCGAGGAUUCCAGUUGACCCUUCUAUCUCACAGACAGUAGGUUACUAGCACCAACACUGGGUGUAUUUUGGGCCACUUGUCAUUGUAAUUAUUAUUGUACAUUAUAACUUUGUAAAUUUUUGUAUGUAUGAAUUUAUUUUCCUUACACGUUACAAAAGAUUAUUUAUACGUGUUUCUAUUUUAUAUUGUUUUAUAUAAAAAAAUGAUAUAUUUUUGUCUUUUGAUUUACUUGAGCCAGAAACGACUGAUAAUUGUUUAAAAUGGAAUAUUUAAAAACGAUUGCUCACAAGAAAGGCAAGAAACUGAUAUGUAAGCCUUGCAGGGUUCUGAUUGGCAUUCCGGGUAAUGAGUGUCAAUUGGGACGUCGCGGCGGUUGUCAUGGGCCUGAGGGAGG
rnacentral:lncRNA from 1 species